rnacentral:rRNA from 1 species
UACAGAGGGUGCGAGCGUUGUCCGGAAUCACUGGGCGUAAAGCGCACGUAGGCGGAUUGCUAAGUCAGGGGUGAAAUCCUGGAGCUCAACUCCAGAACUGCCUUUGAUACUGGUGAUCUUGAGUCCGGGAGAGGUGAGUGGAACUGCGAGUGUAGAGGUGAAAUUCGUAGAUAUUCGCAAGAACACCAGUGGCGAAGGCGGCUCACUGGCCCGGUACUGACGCUGAGGUGCGAAAGCGUGGGGAGCAAACAGG